rnacentral:rRNA from 1 species
UACGGGGGGGGUAAGCGUUGUUCGGAAUUAUUGGGUUUAAAGGGUGCGUAGGCGGCUUAUUAAGUCAGUGGUGAAAGCCCCAAGCUUAACUUGGGAACUGCCAUUGAUACUGAUGAGCUUGAGUAGAUUUGAGGCGGGCGGAAUGUGUCGUGUAGCGGUGAAAUGCUUAGAUAUGACACAGAACACCAAUUGCGUAGGCAGCUCGCUAAACUCUUACUGACGCUGAGGCACGAAAGCAUGGGGAUCAAACAGG